rnacentral:rRNA from 1 species
UUUAAAGGGUCCGUAGGCGGGCUAUUAAGUCAGAGGUGAAAGUUUGCAGCUCAACUGUAAAAUUGCCUUUGAUACUGGUAGUCUUGAGUUAUAGUGAAGUGGUUAGAAUAUGUGGUGUAGCGGUGAAAUGCAUAGAUAUCACAUAGAAUACCAAUUGCGAAGGCAGAUCACUAACUAUAUACUGACGCUGAUGGACGAAAGCGUGGGGAGCGAACGGGAUUAGAUACCCCGGUAGUCCACGCCGUAAACGAUGGAUACUAGCUGCUUGGAAUUUUUCAGUGGCUAAGCGAAAGUGAUAAGUAUCCCACCUGGGGAGUACGUUCGCAAGAAUGAAACUCAAAGGA